AUUGAACGCUGGCGGCAUGCUUUACACAUGCAAGUCGAACGGCAGCGCGGGCUUCGGCCUGGCGGCGAGUGGCGAACGGGUGAGUAAUACAUCGGAACGUGCCCAGUAGUGGGGGAUAGCUCGGCGAAAGCCGGAUUAAUACCGCAUACGACCUGAGGGUGAAAGCGGGGGAUCUUCGGACCUCGCGCUAUUGGAGCGGCCGAUGGCAGAUUAGCUAGUUGGUGGGGUAAAGGCCUACCAAGGCGACGAUCUGUAGCUGGUCUGAGAGGACGACCAGCCACACUGGGACUGAGACACGGCCCAGACUCCUACGGGAGGCAGCAGUGGGGAAUUUUGGACAAAGGGCGAAAGCCUGAUCCAGCAAUGCCGCGUGUGUGAAGAAGGCCUUCGGGUUGUAAAGCACUUUUGGCGGGAACGAAAAGGACUGUGCCAAUACCACGGUUCGAUGACGGUACCCGCAGAAUAAGCACCGGCUAACUACGUG
rnacentral:rRNA from 1 species